rnacentral:rRNA from 1 species
GACGAACGCUGGCGGCGUGCUUAACACAUGCAAGUCGAACGGAAAGGCCCCUUUGGGGGUACUCGAGUGGCGAACGGGUGAGUAACACGUGAGUAACCUGCCCUUGACUUCGGGAUAACUUCAGGAAACUGGGGCUAAUACCGGAUAGGAAUCCUUGCUGCAUGGUGGGGGUUGGAAAGCUUCGGCGGUUUUGGAUGGACUCGCGGCUUAUCAGCUUGUUGGUGGGGUAGUGGCUUACCAAGGCUUUGACGGGUAGCCGGCCUGAGAGGGCGACCGGCCACAUUGGGACUGAGAUACGGCCCAGACUACUACGGGAGGCAGCAGUGGGGAAUAUUGCACAAUGGGCGGAAGCCUGAUGCAGCAAGGCCGCGUGCGGGAUGACGGACUUCGGGUUGUAAACCGCUUUCAGCAGGGGCGAAGCUUGUGGUGACGGUACCUGCAGAAGGAGCACCGGCUAACUACGUG